UACGUAGGUGGCAAGCGUUGUCCGGAUUUAUUGGGCGUAAAGCGCGCGCAGGUGGUGCGGUAAGUCUGCCGUGAAAUCUCCCGGCUCAACUGGGAGGGGGCGGUGGAGACUGCCGGACUGGAGGGACUCAGAGGCCGGUGGAAUUCCCGGCGUAGUGGUGAAAUGCGUAGAGAUCGGGAGGAACACCAGUGGCGAAGGCGGCCGGCUGGGGGUGCCCUGACGCUGAGGCGCGAAAGCGUGGGGAGCGAACCGG
rnacentral:rRNA from 1 species